rnacentral:rRNA from 1 species
AGAAGAGGAAAGUCGUAACAAGGUAAGCCUACCGGAAGGUGGUCUUGGAACCAGAACAUAGCUUAUCAAAAGCAUUUUGCUUACACCAAAAAAAUAUCCCAUAGAUUGUUCUGAAACUGUAAAUUUAGCCUUCUAUCCCCCCCCCUCACUUUUUUCCCCCCAAACCAUUUAAACAUGUUAGUAUGAGUGACAGAAAACCUCUUAGCGCAAUAAAUAAAGUACUGCAAAGGAAAAAUGAAAUAGAAAUUAAAUAAACCAUAAAAGUAUAAUAAAGCAAAGACAAACCCUUAUACCUUUUGCAUCAUGGUCUAGCAAGUCUCACACAACAAAAAUACUUAUGCCGAAGCCCCCGAAACCAAACGAGCUACCCAAAAGCGACAUAGUCAACAUCUUCUCUGUAGCAAAAGAGAGAAAAGACUUUUGGGUAGAGGCGAAAACCCAAACGAGUUUGGAGAUAGCUGGUUACUUGGGAAAUGAACUAAAUUCAACUAAAAGCAAAUAUACCAACAAGGACACACUCCGCUUUUAAUAUAGUAAAUUAGGGUACAGCCUAUUUUACAAAGGAAACAGCCUACAAAAAUGAAUAAAGAUUAAAACAACUACAACAAAGUAGGCCUAAAAGCAGCCACCAAGAAAAGCGUCACAGCUUGAUUAUAUUUAAAAAAUAUUCAAAUAAAUUAUCCAAAUUCAACCGAACAACCAAGUUAAUCUAUUUAUAGAUAAACUACUACUAGAAUUAGUAAUAAGGAACACCUCUUAAUACAUGUGUAAAUCAGAACGAACCCUCACUGAUAAUUAACAAAAACAUUUAUUUUACAAGAAAUCAAAUACUACACAUCGUUAAUUCAACACAGACGUAUAAAAGAAAGAUUUAAAGCUUAAGAAGGAACUCGGCAAACCAAGGCUUCGCCUGUUUACCAAAAACAUCGCCUUUCGACAAACAAACAUGAAAGGUCCUGCCUGCCCAGUGAAAUUAUUUUAACGGCCGCGGUAUUAUGACCGUGCAAAGGUAGCAUAAUCACUUGCCUCUUAAAUCGAGACCAGUAUGAACGGCAAAACGAAAGCCUAACUGUCUCCUUAAGCCAGUCAAUGAAAUUGAUCUUCCCGUGCAAAAGCGAGAAUGUAAAUAUAAGACGAGAAGACCCUGUGGAGCUUAAAAAUAAAACUAUAUAAAUAUUUUACAAUAGCAUUAAAUUUAGGUUGGGGCGACCAUGAGGUAAAAUAAAACCCUCAAGACAAUAAUCAGAAGGACACUUCAAACAAAAAGUAAAACUUAUACAUGACCCAAUAAUGAUCAACGAACCAAGUUACCCCAGGGAUAACAGCGCAAUCCAUUUUCAGAGCUCAUAUCAACAAAUGGGUUUACGACCUCGAUGUUGGAUCAGGACCCCCCAAUGGUGCAACAACUAUUAAAGGUUCGUUGUCAACGAUAAA